rnacentral:tRNA from 1 species
GGCUGUGGCUCAAUGGUAGAGUGCUUGCCUAGCACGUGCCAGGCCCUGGGUUCCAUCCCCAGUGCUA